UGCCAGGAGCAAGCUCCUCGUCUGUGCGCUGCGAAGUCGUGCUUCCCCUGCCUUCUCAACAAAGACUCCCUCAUACAAAAAUGUUCCAAACAAAACACUGACAACAUGGCUCAAAUCAAUCUCACUCUUGGCAUUCACCGGCAGCACAUGUUGAAAUACUGGAUCAUUCCUAAGCCCAAUGCUCAAAUUAUCUUUUCACUAAGUAUUGUAUUGCAAAAG
rnacentral:RNase_MRP_RNA from 1 species